AUGAACGCUGGCGGCGUGCCUCAUACAUGCAAGUCGAGCGAACGGACGAGAAGCUUGCUUCUCUGAUGUUAGCGGCGGACGGGUGAGUAACCCGUGGAUAACCUACCUAUAAGACUGGGAUAACUUCGGGAAACCGUAGCUAAUACCGGAUAAUAUUUUGAACCGCAUGGUUCCAAAGUGAAAGACGGUCUUGCUGUCACUUAUAGAUGGAUCCGCGCUGCAUUAGCUAGUUGGUAAGGUAACGGCUUACCAAGGCAACGAUGCAUAGCCGACCUGAGAGGGUGAUCGGCCACACUGGAACUGAGACACGGUCCAGACUCCUACGGGAGGCAGCAGUAGGGAAUCUUCCGCAAUGGGCGAAAGCCUGACGGAGCAACGCCGCGUGAGUGAUGAAGGUCUUCGGAUCGUAAAACUCUGUUAUUAGGGAAGAACAUAUGUGUAAGUAACUGUGCACAUCUUGACGGUACCUAAUCAGAAAGCCACGGCUAACUACGUG
rnacentral:rRNA from 1 species